CCCUUAGAUGUUCUGGGCCGCACGCGCGCUACACUGAUGCAUUCAACGAGUUUCUUCCUGGUCCGAGAGGAAUGGGUAACCUUUUGAAAGUGCAUCGUGAUAGGGAUAGACUAUUGCAAUUAUUGGUCUUCAACGAGGAAUUCCUAGUAGACGUAGUUCAUCAGACUGCAUCGAUUACGUCCCUGCCCUUUGAACACACCGCCCGUCGCUCCUACCGAUUGAAUGCUCAGGUGAGCCAUUCGGACUUUCAUCAUGCUGGUUUCCAGUUUUGAUGAAGGAAAGUCUUGCGAACCUUAUCAUUUAGAGGAAGGAGAAGUCGUAACA
rnacentral:rRNA from 1 species